rnacentral:rRNA from 1 species
ACAAAGACCACAAUUUCGCCGAGGACAAACCAAAUUUCAUAAAGUGGCUUCAAGUUCAGAUCGUAGGCCUGCAACUUCGCCUACGUGAAGGAGGAAUCGCUUAGUAAUCGCAGGUCAGCAUACUGCGGUGAAUACGUUCCCGGGCCUUGUACACACCGCCCGUCACACCAUGGAAGUUGGCCACGCCCGAAGCCGUUACUCCAACCCUUGUGGAGGAGGACGUCGAAGGUGGGGCUGAUGACUGGGGUGAAGUCGUAACAAGGUAGCCGUACCGGAAGGUGCGGCUGGAUCACCUCCUAA